rnacentral:rRNA from 1 species
UAGAGUUUGAUCCUGGCUCAGGAUGAACGCUAGCGACAGGCUUAACACAUGCAAGUCGAGGGGCAGCGGGGAGGUAGCAAUACUUCCGCCGGCGACCGGCGCACGGGUGAGUAACACGUAUGGAACCUGCCCGUAGCAGGGGGAUAAGCGGAAGAAAUUCCGUCUAAUACCGCGUAAUAACUCCGAGAGGCAUCUCAUGGAGUUUAAAGGGUAACACCGGCUACGGAUGGCCAUGCGGCGCAUUAGCUAGUUGGCGGGGUAACGGCCCACCAAGGCGACGAUGCGUAGGGGUUCUGAGAGGAAGGUCCCCCACACUGGUACUGAGACACGGACCAGACUCCUACGGGAGGCAGCAGUGAGGAAUAUUGGUCAAUGGGCGCGAGCCUGAACCAGCCAAGUCGCGUGAGGGAAGACGGUCCUAUGGAUUGUAAACCUCUUUUGUCGGGGAGCAAAAGACGCCACGUGUGGCGUUCCGAGAGUACCCGAAGAAAAAGCAUCGGCUAACUCCGUGCCAGCAGCCGCGGUAAUACGGAGGAUGCGAGCGUUAUCCGGAUUUAUUGGGUUUAAAGGGUGCGCAGGCGGAAGAUCAAGUCAGCGGUAAAAUUGAGAGGCUCAACCUCUUCGAGCCGUUGAAACUGGUUUUCUUGAGUGAGCGAGAAGUAUGCGGAAUGCGUGGUGUAGCGGUGAAAUGCAUAGAUAUCACGCAGAACUCCGAUUGCGAAGGCAGCAUACCGGCGCUCAACUGACGCUCAUGCACGAAAGUGUGGGUAUCGAACAGGAUUAGAUACCCUGGUAGUCCACACAGUAAUCGAUGAAUACUAAUUGUUCGGGGAGAAUGAUCCCUGAGUGAUACAGCGAAAGCGUUAAGUAUUCCACCUGGGGAGUACGCCGGCAACGGUGAAACUCAAAGGAAUUGACGGGGGCCCGCACAAGCGGAGGAACAUGUGGUUUAAUUCGAUGAUACGCGAGGAACCUUACCCGGGCUCAAACGACACAGGAAUACUUUUGAAAGGAGGUAGCUCUACGGAGUCUGUGUCGAGGUGCUGCAUGGUUGUCGUCAGCUCGUGCCGUGAGGUGUCGGCUUAAGUGCCAUAACGAGCGCAACCCCCAUCGCCAGUUACCAGCAAGUCAAGUUGGGGACUCUGGCGAGACUGCCGGCGCAAGCUGUGAGGAAGGCGGGGAUGACGUCAAAUCAGCACGGCCCUUGCGUCCGGGGCGACACACGUGUUACAAUGGCAGGUACAGAGAGAAGCAAUGCGGCGACGCAAAGCGGAACUUGAAAGCCUGUCUCAGUUCGGAUUGGAGUCUGCAACUCGACUCCAUGAAGCUGGAUUCGCUAGUAAUCGCGCAUCAGCCAUGGCGCGGUGAAUACGUUCCCGGGCCUUGUACACACCGCCCGUCAAGCCAUGGAAGCCGGGAGUGCCUGAAGUGUGCAACCGCAAGGAGCGCCCUAAGGUAAAACUGGUGACUGGGGCUAAGUCGUAACAAGGUAACCGUA